GAUGAACGCUGGCGGCAUGCCUUACACAUGCAAGUCGAACGGCAGCACGGGGCAACCUGGUGGCGAGUGGCGAACGGGUGAGUAAUGCAUCGGAACGUACCUUUCAGUGGGGGAUAACGUAGCGAAAGUUACGCUAAUACCGCAUAUUCUGUGAGCAGGAAAGCAGGGGAUCGCAAGACCUUGCGCUGAUUGAGCGGCCGAUGUCAGAUUAGCUAGUUGGUGAGGUAAAGGCUCACCAAGGCGACGAUCUGUAGCGGGUCUGAGAGGAUGAUCCGCCACACUGGAACUGGGAGACGGUCCAGACUCCUACGGGAGGCAGCAGUGGGGAAUUUUGGACAAUGGGGGCAACCCUGAUCCAGCCAUGCCGCGUGAGUGAAGAAGGCCUUCGGGUUGUAAAGCUCUUUCGGCCGGGAAGAAAUCGCACGGGCUAAUACCCUGUGUGGAUGACGGUACCGGAAUAAGAAGCACCGGCUAACUACGUGCCAGCCGCCGCAGUAAAAC
rnacentral:rRNA from 1 species